UGGCAUCUUGAUUGAAAUUUUGUAUCAACCCUUCAUCAAGACCAGCUUUGGUCGCAAUUUUCGCAAGAGUAUCAUCAGACCUGAGUGGAUAGGUAACAAACAAGCCAUAAUCUUUUGAAAUCUGGCUAUUCCCACAUGAACAAAUUACAGUGACAUUAAUCUUAGCCUUAACAGGUAUAUGAUUUGGAUCAUAGCUGUUGAACUUUUUCAAUAACUCAACAGUUGUCAAACUUGCGUAAUAAGUAUUUGCAAUUAAAUCAUAAUCGUCUCCUUCUUUUGUUGUAUAUUCAAACACAUGUCCUAGAAAUUCACCUCCAAUACAUUCACAUGGGAACGGAACGUUGAUUCUAGUAUAGGAAAUAAGACCAGAUUUAUCGAAUACUACGUCUCUAUUGUAGCUCAUUAUAACAUCAAAGGAAUUGGUAAGAACAAUCUUUGAUUGCAUAAAGUUUGAUAUAUUUCUGAGUUGAAUUGAUGGUAUAAUAUAGUAGGAAGCUAAAGCUACAUCACACCCUUUUACACAUUUGGAUUCAACUUUGAAAAAAACACAAUCCAGAAACAGAAUGAACAAUAGUAAUCCAUUUUUGAGAUUCAUUGAAUCAAGAAGAGAGAGAGAAAGAGAAAACAAAAAAAAUGGCUGAUGAAGGAAAGCAAGAAGCAAAGAAAGAAAGAAUCUCAAAUCAGCAAAAAAUGGAUUAAUUCAUACGAAAAAUAAUGUCACACUUAUUGAAUAUUUUUUUAUGGAAAAUGACUCUAAUUCAACUAUCAAUUUUCUAUACACAUGCUUUUGCUGUUAUGAUCAGAACAGACAUGCAUGAUUGGAUACGUUUGACUAUUUCAAAGAGAAUGUGGAGGGAACAAAGUAACUGUUGGCUAGAAUAAGAGUUGACAUGUUAGUAAUUCAUUAACUUAAAAUGUCAAUGAAUGUUCUUAUGAUAAUACAAAGUACAUAUAAAUAUCUUUGCAGAGACUAAUCAAGACUAAAGAGUAGUAUAAGGAUACUUUAUAUCCAAGUUUUCACUGAGUUUAUGUAAAAGUUGUUUGAUUUUAUUUUUUAAGAAGCUAAAUUAGCUCACUUAAAUUGAUACCGGGGAGAAUCGAAUCUGAGACCUUUACGAAGAUGUUGACAUCAAAUCUUAUAUGAUCUCACCAAUACAAUAUUGUGAUAGUUGAUAACAUGACAAAUAUUCUUAUAUCGGCACAAGGAUUAAUCUUAUAGUAGAUACAAAGAUCCUAACUAAGAUGAGUUUGGGAACAAAAUUAGUAUGAUCUAUAUAGUACACACAUUAGAACUAAUUAAUAUGAACAAACUUAAUUAUAAUUACCAAAACUAAAACAUGGACCAAAAAGCAACUUUCAGAGACUAAAAAAAAUUGGAGUAAAUUUUGUGUGCAAUUAAACGAUGCUUAAUAAAGUUUGGAAAACUACAAAAAAUAAUAUAGUUUUACAUUUUCAAAUAAUUCUAAUUUAGAUAUUUUUAUUAAAAUAAUUAUAUUUGUCUCAUAUUGUCAUUUCUGGUUAUAAUAGUUUUUUAAGAAAAUCAUUGAGUAUACUAGGAUUUUGUGAUUAUAUAAAUUUCUUUGAGUAAAAUACUCUUAUUGUUAAAAUGAUUAUUAGAGUAGUUAGGUAAUUUUUUUGGGUAAAUCAUCCACUUCGGGGUUAUGUUCAAGUUAAGAUUUAAAUUCAAGUUCUUUCAAAUAAUUUGAAUUUAAUUGAAGCUUAUUAACCAUUUUAGUCAACCAUUUGAUUAUAGCUAGACAGAUUGAAGUUCAAUAUAAAGAUAUUAGUGAGAAAAAUGUAAACUCAAAUAUUUCAAAUGUGACCACUUGGACAACAAAAUCUGAUGUUGCAUGCCAAUCACUUAUUAUUUUUUUUUUUUGGGAAAUCACAUUGUUUAUUUUUUUAUACAACAACUUGGAUAUGAAUUAUUUUAAGUGUAUUAUAAACAAUACCAUUUUUGGCAUCAAACGGAAGAAAGAAUGCAAGUGCAUGUUUGGUAUUACAGUGGGUAUGUCAAAAUCACUGUGAUACACCGUGAUUCUACAAAAAUUAUAAAAUGUAAUUUUUUUAAAAAUUACAGUGGGUCGUCGUGAUUCUGACACAUCGAGCGUGAUGUCAAACAUAGAUUAAGUUGAUUGAAAAUGUUCUAUUGUUUAAUCCUUUGCAUCAGUAAUGGCAACCCUGUCGGUAGCUGUGCAACCACUUCACAGUCUGUCCUCUCAUAAUUCCAACAAACACCAUAGUUUCAAUUUUAAAUUAUGAACCACGCCUAAGCAGCUGUGAUUCGUUGACUUCAAUAUCAUAUAAACCAAAAUGGAAUCUACAUGACAAUACCAGUUGCAUAAAGCAUAAUUUGAGACAAGUGAUAACUUUCUUUGUAGAUAUUGAUUCUUCUAUAAGAUCGUUAUUACAAAAGAUAUAUAUAUAUCAAUUGAUGGACAUAUGUGUCCUGCCCUAUAAUUAUUUACAAACUUUGAUGAAAAUUAAAGGAAAUUAUUUAUCUAACAACUACAAUGUCUCGUUUUAGAAAAUGACUUUAACUAAGCUCAAUAAAUUAACCAUAAAAUAUCUUUGUUAAUUUUAGACACAUUAUUUUCAGGAACAUAUAAAUCAUGUGUAUAUUUAAAAUAAUUAAAGUACCUGCAUUUAUUUAUUUUUUUACCCGAAUAAUUUUUGUUUGGGGAUGUAAUAAUACUUAAAUAUGUACAACCUACAAUCUUGACCCUUGUGUUACCUUGAGUUGCGCAAGAAUAUAUAUAUUCGAAAUGUAGUUUUCAUGAUAUUAAAUUACCUUUUCUACCAACACACACUUCUCAAUAUAUUGUGUUUGUUGAAAUUCAUAUCGGUCUUAUCCAAUAUAUCUAUACGUGGCUCAUAAUUUAGUGAAACAGAUUUGGAUUUAAUCAAUAAAAAGGAACAUGUUGUACAUCAACAAAAAUAAUAGAAAAAACGUUGAAAAAUGUGUGUUUUUAAGAUUCAUUUUAGAUAAAAAAGAAACUAAAGCGUGUAAAAAAGAUACAUAGAUUCUUUUUAUCCAAUCUCAUGUACUUGGCUUUGUGUUUUUUUUCUUUCUGUUCUUCUCUUAUAUUAAGCUAUACAACAACAAGUGCAUAGUAGAAUAGUAUUAAGUUUCACAUUGGAACUUCUUCAUUUCAAUUUGAAUCAUGCUCCACAUCAAGACUCAACUCUGCGCUAUCUGUCCUACUUUCAUCAUCAAUAGUAGAAAUUAGUUUCAUAAGAGAAACCACAACAUCUCUCAUUUUUGGACGUUGUUUCGGAUCUCGGUUUAUGCAAGCCUUGGCAAGCUUUGCCAUCUGCCAGUGGAAAAAAGGUCAAGCCAGUCAGAUACAGAAAUCAGAAACAAUAAAAAUGGCUAUGAUUUAUAAAUAAAUACCUUGCUAAUGGAAUCAAUUGAAUAGUUAUCUCCUAGCCUUGGAUCCACCAGCUUUCUUAGACCUUCUAUAGGAUCUCCCUUUUGAUCCAUAACUUCAUCAAACUGCCAUACGUAACAGUUUUUAAGAAAAAACACGCAUUAUAUAUGAACAUAUAUUUAGGUACUCAAUGGUUAUGUAUAACUAUAUAAAUAAGGUUAUCAAUGUAGGAUAAAAAAUGGUGGGAUAUUAACUAUCAAUUACCAAAGCUACAAGGCUCUUGUACUCAUCAGUAGAUUCAUUGGUCUUAAUCUCAUGGCUCUCGAACUCGUUUUUAUCGAUCAUGAUCACGGCUGCUUUAGCAGAAAUUAGCUCAUAAAGAACAACUCCAAAAGCAUACACAUCCAUCUUGCGAGAAAUACGCCCGUAUGCAUUUCUGCACAAAAGUUAAUGGUAGAAUUAAACUAAGGAAGUGAACUACUUUUUACUUUUCCCUUUGAUGUUACUAGUAAUACAAAAAGUGUUACGAAAAUAUAAAUAUGAAAUAGUUUUUAAAUGUUACUGAUAAUACUAUAAAAUGUUACUGAAACUUUUUAGUAACACGGACUAUACCUAACAAUUGCUCAAAUGUUACUAAAUUUAAUUAGUAACUUUUUUCUUUAGAUCUCAAUUAUCUUGUAGUGUCGUUAGUUACAAAUAAUUGAUUAGUAGUAAGAAUAAGGUGGAUUUAUCAUGGUAAUAUUCUUUAAACGCAAACGGGGAAAGAUGCUAUAUCCUUCGAAAGAAACUAAGGAACGGAUCUUUGAUUUCAAAACUGCAAAUUAGAUAUGAUAGCAAUCAACCACAUAAAAAGAAAGGGCAGAAUUCAUCAUACUCGGGCGGCAUGUAACCAAAUGUGCCUGCCAUGUGAUUAGUGUUAUCUGUUGAAUUUGCGAUAUUAGUCAGCUUGGUUAAUCCAAAAUCUGCAAUCUGUGAUAACAAGAAUAAUAUAUGAUCUACUACAAUUAUCUCAAUAAGGAAAAUAAUAAAUAUUAAGAAGCUUUAACAAAAGAGGCAUAGUAUUAUACCUUCCCAUUGAAGUUUUUAUUUAAUAAAAUAUUAUCUGAUUUUAUGUCACGAUGGAUAUAUACAGGCACCGAAUGAUCAUGAAUAUACUCAAGGCCUCUUGCUACAUCCAGAGCAAUUUUCAUCCUUCUAGACAAGGUCAUCAGUUCUUUCUCUGCAAAAAGUACUCAAAUUAAUGAAACAUCAUUGAAAAUUGAUACUUUUAAUGUGUUAAUAAUAUCACCUGAAUUAUGUAGAUGUUGGCUUAAGUUUCCAUUUUCCAUGUAUUCAUACACAAGAAAUAGAAAUCCCUCAACACAAUAUCCAAUCAAGUGUACCUAUAUGGACAUAACAACAGAUAGAUAUAGGUUACAAAAUUACUAUUACAUUAGAGAAUAUAGUAUAAACAACAAAGUUACUGAAGAAAGUUAAUAAAGAAACAAUCAUUUUUAUAAAGAAAAAGCUAAAAGAAAAAUGUUAUAUGUUUGAAAAUUUACCAGGUUUAAGUGACGAACACUUGUUAAGACUUUCAGUUCAGAAAGAAAUUCUCUUGUUGCUUGCGUCUUCAUCUUCUUGAUUGCAACUUUCUGUGUAAUUAAAGAUCGCUUACUUAAUGAAAUAACAUAUAAGUUGAAAUAGGCACGUGGAAUGGAUUGUUACAAACAAGAAAAAGCUCUUCACUAUACUAUGCUUGUUAGAAUAAGUUUAUAACAAAUUCGAUGAAAUCUGGUGCAUAGCACCUUUCCUGUAUAUGGUAUGAUUUUAUAUAUACCAUUGAAAAUGAGAGAAAUUACAGUGGAAUCAAUAGUCAUUUUAGAACCGCCUUUGAGGGAAUAUGAACUCCGUCCCUUGAGGCACGCCCGACUCAUACCACUAAUUGCAAAGUAAAACUAACAAAGUUAUGAUAACAAACCUUGCCUCCCAGCACUCCAUAGUAGACCUCACCAAAACCACCUUGACCAAUUUUUUUAGCCAAACUGAAGUUCUCUGUAGCAUUGGCUAGUACUUUGUAUGAGAACUUUGGUGAUUUGUCCACCAAUAUAUAUUUGGAUCUAGUAUCACUAUAGCUAUCUUUAUCACCUAUGGGAGGUAAAAAAUAAGUUGAACUCAUGAAUAAUGGAACAGUUCAUUCACUAUAUUUAAGAGGUAAGGGUCAUGCAAGGAAUUUGAGUACGAAAGUUGUACAUAUACCAUCUUUAGUUGAAGGUGACAUAGAAUCUUCUGGUGGCAAUUUAGACUCUUCUCCAUUCUUCUUGCGAAAGUAUCUAACAUAUAUACAAAUUGCUAAUAGCAGAACCAUGCAUACUCCUCGAAUACAUAUUCCAGCAGCAACUAAACUUCUAGCUAAGUGACCUGAUUUUAUAUAUAUAGAAAUUAAAGUUCAGAGAGGCACUUAGCUUUCUUUGAAUUUUCAUAUGACUGUGAACAUGCAAAAAUAAAUAUUCAUCAAUAUAGCCAAUUCUCUGGUAAGUUUGAAGGUGAAACCUGCUUUUCUGCAAGAAGGGAAACGAAAUGGAAAAAAAUGAAUUUUCAUUGCUGUGAGUAAUAAGUAUGAAAGGUAAGGCUAACACAAUGAAACUUACCUAGAGGGCAAGGGAACAUAAACUCCAUUUUCAUCUGCAAAAUUAAAGGAAUAAAAAAUAAAACAAAAGAACAAAUAGUCAUACAUAAAAUGCAAACAUAUCAAUCAAUAAACAAAAAAACAUCACUUAAUGCAUUUUUCAAUAACAUAGAGGAACAAACAAUUAAAAAGUUAGAUGUAAUAUUAUCAUUUAUUGAUUACUCAUCCAUGAUAAACUAGAAUGUCAGGUUCACUAAUAAAACAUGUUCAUCAACUUCAUUCUACCUAUAGCAUAAAUUGGAUAAUAUGGUCAAGCAAUUAAUAUAUUUUUGAAAAUUUUCAAUUUUGCCUUCUAUUUAAAUUUUACAUGUUUACACUGUAUAUACAUUAACAAAUAUAGUGUAGUUUUUUUCUAUAAAAAGAUACUGUAGUUUUUUUCAUAUCAGUAAAAUAAAAAAUGUAACCUGAAUUUAAACCCAAUCAUAGUUCAAUUUAUUCCAUGUAUAUACUUUGAAAAAUAAUAGAGUAACUUAGCAUUUAAAUAUACUCUAACUGAAAUUAAAUGGUUCGACUCGAGUGGUCAAUGAGGUCCGGUGAAGGUCAAGUUGAUUGGAAGUACUAAGUUCAAAACCUGGUUGUUACAAUCAUUGGCUAGACUUUAUGAAUUAUCAGAGUCCAUUUCCACGAGAACAAGAUGGUCAUAAUUUUUUUUUAUCUAACUCGCAUACUUAUACAAGUACUUUUGAUAAGAAUCACCAAAUCGCAUUAAACAUUUAUAAUGGAAUUUACCAAUAAUCUACAAACUGCGGAAUUUCAGACUUAUCAAAGUUACAACGGAUGUGACAGAAGUUCAAACCAUCUGUGCCAACCACAGUUGGCAGAAAAUGAGAAAAUACAUACCUCUUCCUGGAAUGAACACUAUCCCACUUCCUUUGCUGAAAUUGGCAUCUUGAUUGAAAUUUUGUAACAACCCUUCAUCAAGAUCAGCUUUGGUCGCAAUUUUCGCAAGAGUAUCAUCAGACCUGAGUGGAUAGGUAACAAACAAGCCAAAAUCUUUUGAAAUCUGGCUAUUCCCACACGAACAAAUUACAGUGACAUUAAUCUUAGCCUUAACAGGUAUAUGAUUUGGAUCAUAGCUGUUGAACUUUUUCAAUAACUCAACAGUUGUCAAACUUGCAUAAUAAGUAUUUGCAAUUAAAUCAUAAUCGUCUCCUUCUUUUGUUGUAUAUUCAAACACAUGUCCUAGAAAUUCACCUCCAAUACAUUCACAUGGGAACGGAACGUUGAUUCUAGUAUAGGAAAUAAGACCAGAUUUAUCGAAUACUACGACUCUAUUGUAGCUCAUUAUAACAUCAAAGGAAUUGGUAAGAACAAUCUUUGAUUGUAUAAAGUUUGAUACAUUUAUGAGUUGAAUUGAUGGCAUAAUAUAGUAGGAAGCUAAAGCUACAUCACACCCUUUUACACAUUUGGUUUCAACUUUGAAAAAAACACAAUCCAGAAACAGAAUGAACAAUAGUAAUCCAUUUUUGAGAUUCAUUGAAUCAAGAAGAGAGAGAGAAAGAGAAAACAAAAAUAAUGGCUGAUGAAGGAAAGCAAGAAGCAAAGAAAGAAAGAAUCUCAAAUCAGCAAAAAAUGGAUUAAUUCAUAUGAAAAAUAAUGUCACACUUAUUGAAUAUUUUUUUAUGGAAAAUGACUCUAAUUCAACUAUCAAUUUUCUAUACACAUGCUUUUGCUGUUAUGAUCAGAACAGACAUGCAUGAUUGGAUACGUUUGACUAUUUCAAAGAGAAUGUGGAGGGAACAAAGUAACUGUUGGCUAGAAUAAGAGUUGACAUGUUAGUAAUUCAUUAACUUAAAAUGUCAAUGAAUGUUCUUAUGAUAAUACAAAGUACAUAUAAAUAUCUUUGCAGAGACUAAUCAAGACUAAAGAGUAGUAUAAGGAUACUUUAUAUCCAAGUUUUCACUUUGAGUCUAUGUAAAAGUUGUUUGAUUUUAUUUUUUAAGAAGCUAAAUUAGCUCAUGUAAAUUGAUACUGGGGAGAAUCGAACCUGAGACCUUGAAGAAGAUGUUGACAUCAAAUCUUAUAUGAUCUCACCAAUACAAUAUUGUGAUAGUUGAUAACAUGACGAAUAUUCUUAUAUCGACACAAGGAUUAAUCUUAUAGUAGAUACAAAGAUCCUAACUAAGAUGAGUUUGGGAACAAAAUUAGUAUGAUCUAUAUAGUACACACAUUAGAACUAAUUAAUAUGAACAAACUUAAUUACCAAAACUAAAACAUGGACAAAAAAGCAACUUUCAGAGACAAAAACAUAUAUGAAAAAUUAGUUUGGGAACUAAUUAAUACCAUCACUGAUUCCAUAUAUAUGAAAAACAUUUGAAUUAUUAAGAAUAAAGCAUGAUAUUGGGUUAGGUAACUCAAUUAUUCAAACUUUGAUGAAAAGGAAAUUAUUUAUAUCUAACAACUACAAUGUCUCGUUUUAAAAAAUGACUUUAACUAAUUAAGCUCAAUAAAUUAACCAUAAAAUAUCUUUGUUAAUUUUAGACACAUCAUUUUUAGGAACAUAUAAAUCAUGUGUAUAUUUAAAAUAAUUAAAGUACCUGCAUUUAUUUAUUUUUUUUACCCGAAUAAUUUUUGUUUGUGGAUGUAAUAAUACUUAAAUAUGUACAACCUACAAUCUUGACCCUUGUUUUACCUUGAGUUGCCGAAGAAUAUAUUCGAAAUGUAGUUUUUAAUAAAUAUGUACAUUGAAUAUAAUGAAAAGGUAAUUUCACAGUAUAAAGUAACGUUGGUAGAAAACUAACCACUUUUAUCAUUUUUCAGGUAAUUUGUAUUAUGCUGUUAUUAUAACAACCUGUUUUUUCUUUACAGAAUUAUAACAAUAUGAAUAUUUAUUUGUUGGGUUCAUCUGCGUAUCCCAUUGCUCAAUAAGUUAUUAACCCGUCUUGGAGGAAAGUAAUUGUGUCGAGAAAGUUUAGCGAUUAAUCAACCCUCUUCGUCCAUUGUUGUUCACUAGACACUUUAAAAAUAAGUUGAGCUCAUGAAUAAUGGAACAGUUCAUUCACUAUAUUUAAGAGGUAAGGGUCAUGCAAGGAAUUUGAGUACGAAAGUUGUACAUAUACCAUCUUUAGUUGAAGGUGACAUUGAAUCUUCUGGUGGCAAUUUAGACUCUUCUUCUCCAUUCUUCUUGCGAAAGUAUCUAACAUAUAUACAAAUUGCUAAUAGCAGAACCAUGCAUACUCCUCGAAUACAUAUUCCAGCAGCAACUAAACUUCUAGCUAAGUGACCUGAUUAUAUAUAUAUAGAAAUUAAAGUUCAGAGAGGCACUUAGCUUUCUUUGAAUUCUCAUAUGACUAUGAACAUGCAAAAAUAAAUAGUCAUCAAUAUAGCCAAUUCUCUGGUAAGUUUGAAGGUGAAACCUGCUUUUCUGCAAGAAGGGAAACGAAAUGGAAAAAAAUGAAUUUUCAUUGCUGUGAGUAAUAAGUAUGAAAGGUAAGGCUAACACAAUGAAACUUACCUAGAGGGCAAGGGAACAUAAACUCCAUUUUCAUCUGCAAAAUUAAAGGAAUAAAAAAUAAAACAAAAGAAUAAAUAGUCAUACAUAAAAUACAAACAGAUCCAUCAAUAAACAAAAAAACAUCACUUAAUGCAUUUUUCAAUAACAUAGAGGAACAAACAAUUAAAAAGUUAGAUGUAAUAUUAUCAUUUAUUGAUUACUCAUCCAUUAUAAACUAGAGUCUCAGGUUCACUAAUAAAACAUGGUCAUCAACUUCAUUCUACCUGUAGCAUAAAUUGGAAAAUAUGGUCAAGCAAUUAAUAUAUUUUUGACAAAUUUCAAUUUUGCCUUCUAUUUAAAUUUUACAUGUUUACACUGUAUAUACAUUAACAAAUAUAGUGUAGUUUUUUCCAUAUCAGUAAAAUAAAAAAUGUAACCUUUCCCUGGAAUAUAAACAAGACCCCUUCCUUGGCUGAAAUUGACACCAGGGUUGUACCUCUGCAGCAACUCACCCUUAACCUUGGUAUACUUAGCAAUGGAUUCCAAAGUGUCGUCAGGUCUAAGAGGAUAUGUAAUGAACAAACCAUAAUCUUUUGAAACCUCUCCGUUCCCACAGGAACAAUUAACAGUGACAUUAAUCAUGACAGAAUCAGGAACAUAGGUUCGAGGAUAAACAUUGACUCUCUCGAUCCAUUCCUCGGUGACCAAAUUGCCAAAAGUCGUCGUAGCAAUCGAAGCAUAGGAGUCUCCAUGGCGAAGCUUGUAGAGAAAUGUGUGACCAAGAAACUCAUCAUUGAUGCAAUCACAAGGGAAUGGAACAUUCAAUCUUGUAUAGACUUGGACACUAUCAACGCUUAGUAUUGUGUAAAUGUUGUAGAUGGAAAUAUCUUCAGCUUUUGAAACAACAUUGGAUUGCAUGACCUUUGAAAUAUUUGCCAAGGUUGUACCUGGCCUUAUAUAAUAGGAAGCUAAAGCUAAGUCACAAGUUUUGUUACAUUUUGAUUCUGAAGUGAUGGAUUGCGAGACAAGUAACAAGAAUAAAAGUGAUAAUCUGAAUUUGAUGAUUGGUUUCAUUGUGUAACACACAGAAUAAGAAUUUGGAUGUGUUGAAUAAAUAUGCAAAAGGGUGUUAGGACGAAUAAUAUACAUUAACUACUUUGAAUUAAUAUAAAAAUGGAAAUAUGAAUUUGAGAAAGUCGUAUAAAUUCCCACUUCAAUUUUAAAUUCUGAGCCACGCCUAAGCAGCUGUGAUUCUUUGACUUCAAUAUCAUAUAAACCAAAAUGGAAUCUACUUGACUAUACCAGUUACAUAUAACAUCAUUUGAGACAAGUGAUAACUUUGUUUGUAGAUAUUCCUGCCCUAUUGUUUAUUGAAAAUGAAUUAAAAUUUACUUUAAUUAAGCUCAAAAAAUUACCAAAAAUUGUCUUAUCUAUAAACAAUUUAGGCACAUCAUUUAGGGUGUGUUUGGUUUGGAAGAGAAUUUGCGAAGAGAGAAACAGGUAAGAAAGAGUGUGUGAAAAGAGAAAUUGAGUUGAUGUGCCCUUUUUUUAUACAACAUCUUGUAUAAAAAUUGGGUAAGAAUGUGUACAAUACAACAAAAUGGUGGGACCCCUUCCCGAACCAUGCGUAUGCCAGAGGUUUAGUGCACUGGAUUGCCCUUUUUUUAAUUGAAAAAAAUAAAAUAGUAUUGCAUUGAAAUAAAUAUUUAAAUUUGGUUUUUUUUAAAUAGAUCAAUUAUUGUGAGACAGAUGAGAUGAUUUUUAUUCGGGGUUGUGAGCACUCUUUUUUAAGAUGUCAAACUGGAUUAUGAUCACUUAAAUAUUUCUCUUGAAAGUACAAACCUCUUAUAUAGAGUCUUGACUCUUGUGCUACCUUGAGUUUCACAAGAAUAUAUUUCAAUUCCAAUUUUAGAUGCAUAUGUACAUUGAAUAUCAUGAAAAGGUAAUUCCACAGUAUAAAGUAACGUUGGUAGAAAACUAAUCACUUUUAUCAUUUUUCAGGUAAUUUUUUUUUUUUUUUACAGAAGGUAGUUUGUGUUAUACUGUUAUUAUAACAAUCUGUUUUUUUUUCUUCUUCCUGGUAUUACAACAAUUUGGUUAAUUAUUUGUUGUGUUCAUCUGGAAUUAUAAAUUUCUCAAUUAGUUUAUUAACCCAUCUUGGAGGAAAGUGAUGGUGUUGAGAAAGUUGAAACAAUUUAUAGGCUUUUCUCUUUUAAACAGUAAAAUGAAGUUGUCAAAUUAAUGAUUUGUCAACUAUAUUAUUCUUUGAUAAAAAAAAAAUAAAUAAAUAAAUCUUUGAUAAAAUAUAAAAAAAAAAAAAAAACUAUUAUUCUAACCAAAUGAGGUCCAAAGGGUUGUAAGUUGCAUCAGCAGCUAAAAAAAUGAUGGUUCAAAGGCUAGGCUCACCGGCUUAGUAGACUAGAAGUACAGCAGCUUGUAAUCCCUCCACUGUCAGGAGGGAGAGGUCUUCGCUGCUCUGUGAGCAGAGCCUCACGCAGUGCCCUCUAGUCUAGGAGCCAUGAGACGAAGGCGUAUGCCAAAGUCCCAUGGCACAACUCUCAACUUGGAGCGGACAAGCCAGCAUAUUGCAGAAACCAGCUCAGCCAAGACAAGCCAUAGCCAUGUCCCAUUAUUUUAGUGCUCUCACUUGGGUCCCAAGUUGGCACUACCCAACUCAGCAAACUGACCAUCUUGUCAGACAGUUAUAUGCACUUGAUUGUGUUAUAUUCUAUUCGAUGUAGGACAUAAUAAAUGCUAAGACAAGUGAAGUAAUUGAUCCAAAAUGGUGUAGUUCUGCUCCUAGCUAACAUUGGUAUAGAUCAGUCAUGUUAUUUGGUUCCACACUUUGUAAUUAAAAACAAAUCAUGUUUCCAAACAUCAAUAAACAACUAUCCACAUUUUCUGUUUUUUUCUUUCUAUCAUUCUCUUAUAUUAAGCUGUACAACAGCAAGUGCAUAGUAGAAUAGUAUUAAGUUUCACAUUGGAACUUCUUCAUUUCAAUUUGAAUCAUGCUCCACAGCAAGACUCAACUCUGCGCUACCUGUCCUACUUUCAUCAUCAAUAGUAUAAUUCAGUUUCAUAAGAGAAACCACAAGGUCUCUCAUUUUUGGACGUUGUUUCGGAUCUCGGUUUAUGCAAGCCUUGGCAAGCUUUGCCAUCUGCCAGUGGAAAAAAG
rnacentral:lncRNA from 1 species